UGGCUCAAAUGGUAAAGCAUCUGCCUGCAAUGCAGGAGACCCGGGUUUGAUCCCCGG
rnacentral:tRNA from 1 species